AUUGAACGCUGGCGGCAGGCUUAACACAUGCAAGUCGAACGAGUGGCGGACGGGUGAGUAAUGCUUGGGAAUGUAGCUUAGGGAUGGGGAUAACUACGGGAAACUGUAGCCAAUACCGCGUAACAUAGGAUGAGCCCAAGUGGGAUUAGGUAGUUGGUGAGGUAAAGGCACACCAAGACGACGAGCUCUAGCUGGUCUGAGAGGAUGACCAGCCACACUGGGACUGAGACACGGCCCAGACUCCUACGGGAGGCAGCAGUGGGGAAUAUUGGGCAAUGGGGGAAACCUGACCCAGCCAUGCCGCGUGAAUGAAGAAGGCCUUCGGGUUGUAAAGUUCUUUAGGUAGCGAGGCGUUAACUACAGAAGAAGCACCGGCUAACUCCGUGCCAGCAGCCGCGGUAAUUC
rnacentral:rRNA from 1 species